rnacentral:misc_RNA from 1 species
AACUUUUGGCAAUGGAUCUCUUGGUUCUGGCAUCGAUGAAGAACGCAGCGAAAUGCGAUAAGUAAUGUGAAUUGCAGAAUUGAGUGAAUCAUCGAAUCUUUGAACGCACAUUGCGCCCGCCAGUAUUCUGGCGGGCAUGCCUGUUCGAGCGUCAUUUCAACCAUCAAGCCCCCGGCUUGUGUUGGGGACCUGCGGCUGCCGCAGGCCCUGAAAACCAGUGGCGGGCUCGCUGUCACCCCGAGCGUAGUAGUUACAUCUCGCUCUGGGAGUGCUGCGGGUUCCGGCCGUUAAAAGCCUUAUUUACCCAAGGUUGACCUCGGAUCAGGUAGGAAGACCCGCUGAACUUAAGCAUAUCAAUAAGCGGAGGCU